rnacentral:rRNA from 1 species
AUACGUAGGAUCCAAGCGUUGUCCGGAUUUACUGGGCGUAAAGGGUGUGUAGGCGGCAUGGUAAGUCUCAUGUGAAAUCUCCCGGCUUAACUGGGAGGGGUCAUGGGAAACUACCACGCUGGAGGGCAGCAGAGGAGAGCGGAAUUCCGGGAGUAGUGGUGAAAUGCGUAGAUACCCGGAGGAACACCCGUGGCGAAAGCGGCUCUCUGGGCUGUAUCUGACGCUGAGACACGAAAGCGUGGGGAGCAAACCGGAUUAGAAACCCCAGUAGUCC